rnacentral:rRNA from 1 species
GCUGAAAGCCUGGUGCUUGCACCGGGUGGAUGAGUGGCGAACGGGUGAGUAACACGUGAGUAACCUGCCCCUGACUUCGGGAUAAGCCCGGGAAACUGGGUCUAAUACCGGAUACGACUGCCGGACGCAUGUCUGGUGGUGGAAAGUUUUUUCGGUUGGGGAUGGGCUCGCGGCCUAUCAGUUUGUUGGUGAGGUAAUGGCUCACCAAGACGACGACGGGUAGCCGGCCUGAGAGGGCGACCGGCCACACUGGGACUGAGACACGGCCCAGACUCCUACGGGAGGCAGCAGUGGGGAAUAUUGCACAAUGGGGGAAACCCUGAUGCAGCGACGCAGCGUGCGGGAUGACGGCCUUCGGGUUGUAAACCGCUUUCAGCAGGGAAGAAGCGCAAGUGACGGUACCUGCAGAAGAAGUACCGGCUAACUACGUGCCAGCAGCCGCGGUAAUACGUAGGGUACGAGCGUUGUCCGGAAUUAUUGGGCGUAAAGAGCUCGUAGGUGGUUGGUCACGUCUGCUGUGGAAACGCAACGCUUAACGUUGCGCGUGCAGUGGGUACGGGCUGACUAGAGUGCAGUAGGGGAGUCUGGAAUUCCUGGUGUAGCGGUGAAAUGCGCAGAUAUCAGGAGGAACACCGGUGGCGAAGGCGGGACUCUGGGCUGUAACUGACACUGAGGAGCGAAAGCAUGGGGAGCGAACAGGAUUAGAUACCCUGGUAGUCCAUGCCGUAAACGUUGGGCACUAGGUGUGGGGGGCAUUCCACGUUCUCCGCGCCGUAGCUAACGCAUUAAGUGCCCCGCCUGGGGAGUACGGUCGCAAGGCUAAAACUCAAAGGAAUUGACGGGGGCCCGCACAAGCGGCGGAGCAUGCGGAUUAAUUCGAUGCAACGCGAAGAACCUUACCAAGGCUUGACAUACACCGGGACCGUCCUGGAAACAGGUCCUCUUCUUUGAAGCUGGUGUACAGGUGGUUGCAUGGUUGUCGUCAGCUCGUGUCGUGAGAUGUUUGGGGUUAAGUCCCGCAACGAGCGCAACCCUCGUUCUAUGUUG